rnacentral:tRNA from 1 species
GGAGGCAUAGCUCAGAGGUAGAGCAUUUGACUACAGAUCAGCAGGACCCUGAUUCAAAUCAGGUGCCCUG